GCCAUUUGUAUGGCUGGUGCACAAAGCUGAUGGCUCUAAAAUGCCAGAGGAUAGGAGGUGGCCAGAACCUGGAGAGGAGGCUGUGCUUUCUCCAGCUGCAGAUUGACGAGAAGGAAAAUCAGAUUGUUGAAUGAGGAAGAUCAACAGAUUGGAACUGGAGUAGGACAUAUUCCCGAGGUUGAAGAAGCUUCCUGACAGUGACUGCCUUUGCUCAAUCCAGGGUGCUGUUAGUUUGAAUCCCAAAGGCAUACGUGACACAGGAUUUGCUGUGACUAAGGGAGGGUGGCUUAAUUGCUUUUAGUCUGUUUCCCUUUUGUUAUUUCUUGCUCUAGUCAGUAAUACAGGGAUUUAAGAAAACGGAGCUAAUGCA